rnacentral:rRNA from 1 species
UCUGCUUACACAUGCAAGUCGAACGGGCUCUUCGGAGCUAGUGGCGGACGGGUGAGUAACGCGUGAGAAUCUGCCUUCAGGAGGGGGAUAACGACUGGAAACGGUCGCUAAUACCCCAUAUGCCUCUGGGUGAAAAGUAAUUCGCCUGAAGAUGAGCUCGCGUCAGAUUAGCUAGUUGGUGGGGUAAGAGCCUACCAAGGCGACGAUCUGUAGCUGGUCUGAGAGGAUGAUCAGCCACACUGGGACUGAGACACGGCCCAGACUCCUACGGGAGGCAGCAGUGGGGAAUUUUCCGCAAUGGGCGCAAGCCUGACGGAGCAAGACCGCGUGGGGGAUGACGGCUUAAUGGUUGUAAACCCCUUUUCUCUGGGAAGAAGACUGACGGUACCAGAGGAAUCAGCCUCGGCUAACUCCGUGCCAGCAGCCGCGGUAAUACGGAGGAGGCAAGCGUUAUCCGGAAUUAUUGGGCGUAAAGCGUCCGUAGGUGGUUAUUCAAGUCUGCUGUCAAAGCGUGGGGCUUAACUCCAUAGAGGCAGUGGAAACUGAGUGACUAGAGUGCGGUAGGGGUCGAGGGAAUUCCCAGUGUAGCGGUGAAAUGCGUAGAUAUUGGGAAGAACACCAGUGGCGAAAGCGCUCGACUGGGCUGCCUGACCUGAGGGACGAAGCUAGGACGAAGGAUUGAUACCCUGUGGUCCUAGCCGUAAACGAUGGAUACUAGGUGUUGCCUCGUCAUCGACCGCGAGCAGUGCCCGUAAAGCCAACGCGUUAAGUAUCCCGCCUGGGGAGUACGCCUCGCAAAGAGUGAAACUCAAGGAAUUGACGGGGGCCC